GUUAAGCGACUAAGCGUACACGGUGGAUGCCCUGGCAGUCAGAGGCGAUGAAGGACGUGCUAAUCUGCGAUAAGCGUCGGUAAGGUGAUAUGAACCGUUAUAACCGGCGAUUUCCGAAUGGGGAAACCCGG
rnacentral:rRNA from 1 species